ACAUGUCCUCUUCUCCUUCCAUUUGCUAUUGUGUUCGUCAAUAAGACUAUCCACGUCUCCUUAUUCUUCUGAACCGGGUUUUUUUUUCUCCAUGUAUUCUUGCAAACCCUAAUCCUUUCCCCAAAAUAUUCCGCCGUUUCUACUCUUCCUUGUCUCUGCAACUCAAGCCGAACUUCUCACUUCCUUCAAAAUAUUUCAUUGUUCUUCUUUAUCUCUCUCUAAUAUUACCCACCUAAGAUCCGCCCCUGCAUAGUCCUAUUCGGUAGGGUUUCUCUAAUCCCAUUCAGUAGGGUUUUAAAUCCAAAACAGAUCCUGAAUCAGCACACACAAAAUUGAAAGUAAAGAACGAUGAUGAGAGUUUCGGUGUUAAAAAUAGACAAAGAACCGUCAUCUUCUCUUAAUGACUCCUCUGAUCGGAUUGGAAGACGCCACUGGCUUACCUUUUAGUUUAUUAUUGGCAAAACUAGCGAUGCAUCAAAGAUGGCGGAACUUAGUAAGGAGGUUGAGGAAUAUGACGACUUCUUGAUGUUGGAUAUUGUUGAGGAGUAUAGUAAGCUUCCAUACAAAACGUUGGCAUUUUUCAAAGCUGCGUAUGCACUCUACGAUUCUGAGUUUUAUGUUAAAGCUGAUGAUGACAUAUAUCUAAGACCAGAUCGGCUCUCGCUGCUCCUAGCUAAAGAACGUACUCACUCACAGACUUAUCUUGGAUGCAUGAAGAAAGGUCCUGUGUUCACUGAUCCUAAACUCAAAUGCCUUUGAAUUUUGCUAAGGGUAGAGAUGGUGGAAUAAUACAUGGAGGACCUGCUGAUGAGACCAAGAUGUUCACUGUUGGGGAUAGAGUUCUAGCCACCAGCCAUUGACUGUACAAUCAGGAGGAAAAGUCAAAUGUAUGGAGGAGAAACAAAUUGAAGUGGAUUAAUUAUUUUGACCACUCAGGUUGGCAAUCUUAAAAAAAAUGGAAUAUGUCCGGAAAUAUAGAAAGCAAUAUCGGACGGCACGCGCCAGUUGUGUCACUUGAAGAAAUAAAAACUGACUCAGUAUUUUUUUCCUUCUCUUUUUCGUGUAUAUUCAAUUGCUUGAAGCACUUUUAUAUAUAUAGGUUGGAUAACGGAUGUUGAAAAGGGUACAUUUUUUUUUCAAUUAACAGGAGCUGAUGUUGAGGAUCAGUUGUUUGUGCAUUUGCAACACUUGUUCCAACCGCAAGGAGGGUACAGGUUGGUAAUUUCUUU